GCGUGAGUGAUGAAGGCCUUAGGGUUGUAAAGCUCUUUCGCCGAUGAUGAUAAUGACAGUAGUCGGAGAAGAAGCCCCGGCUAACUUCGUGCCAGCAGCCGCGGUAAUACGAAGGGGGCUAGCGUUGUUCGGAAUUACUGGGCGUAAAGCGCACGUAGGCGGACUUUUAAGUCAGGGGUGAAAUCCCGGGGCUCAACCCCGGAACUGCCUUUGAUACUGGGAGUCUAGAGUAUGGUAGAGGUGAGUGGAAUACCGAGUGUAGAGGUGGAAUUCGU
rnacentral:rRNA from 1 species